GUAACGGUCACCGCAAGGUUUCUGGUGGCGACACCAGACAGACUUCCGCGUUUCGCCCAGCGAACCGCGACCGGCCCCGCCGGAUUUAACCUGCCGGUACUGACACCGGC
rnacentral:ncRNA from 1 species